CAGGACGAACGCUGGCGGCGUGCCUAACACAUGCAAGUCGAGCGAGGAGAUCCCUUCGGGGAUGAACCUAGCGGCGGACGGGUGAGUAACACGUGGGCAACCUGCCUUAUAGAGGGGAAUAGCCUUCCGAAAGGAAGAUUAAUACCGCAUAACAUUACAUUUUCGCAUGAAGAAGUAAUUAAAGGAGUAAUCCGCUAUAAGAUGGGCCCGCGGCGCAUUAGCUAGUUGGUGAGGUAACGGCUCACCAAGGCGACGAUGCGUAGCCGACCUGAGAGGGUGAUCGGCCACAUUGGGACUGAGACACGGCCCAGACUCCUACGGGAGGCAGCAGUGGGGAAUAUUGCACAAUGGGGGAAACCCUGAUGCCAGCAACGCCGCGUGAGUGAUGAAGGUCUUCGGAUCGUAAAGCUCUGUCUUCAGGGACGAUAAUGACGGUACCUGAGGAGGAAGCCACGGCUAACUACGUGCCAGCCGCCGC
rnacentral:rRNA from 1 species